rnacentral:rRNA from 1 species
UACGUAGGGUGCGAGCGUUAAUCGGAAUUACUGGGCGUAAAGCGUGCGCAGGCGGUUUGAUAAGCCAGAUGUGAAAUCCCCGGGCUCAACCUGGGAACUGCGUUUGGAACUGUCAAGCUAGAGUGUAGCAGAGGGGGGUAGAAUUCCACGUGUAGCAGUGAAAUGCGUAGAGAUGUGGAGGAACACCGAUGGCGAAGGCAGCCUCCUGGGCCAACACUGACGCUCAUGCACGAAAGCGUGGGGAGCAAACAGG